ACGUAGGGUGCGAGCGUUGUCCGGAAUUACUGGGCGUAAAGAGCUCGUAGGAGGUUUGUCACGUCGUCUGUGAAAUCCUCCAGCUUAACUGGGGGCGUGCAGGCGAUACGGGCAGACUUGAGUACUACAGGGGUAGCUUGAAUUCCUGGUGUGGCGGUCGAAUGCGUAGAUAUCAGGAGGAACACCGGUAGCGAUGUCGGGUCUUUGGGGAGUAACUGACGCUGAAUGGCGAAAUUAUGGGUAGCGAAGAG
rnacentral:rRNA from 1 species